UAAAAUAAUACUACGGUAAUCCUCAAGGUUCCACUUCCGUCUAUCUCUGGAAACAUAUGUUUCUGUCUAAAGGGAAAAAAAACAAGAGUGCUAGCUUAUGAUCUCCAAAUCUUUUAUUACUUUAAAAUAUCUCCUUCAAGAUAUCACUUUCAAAUGUACAUACCACCGUUACAUGGACAUCAUGUCCUUGUAAUGGUCAUAUUGAAUAGUAUGACUUGACAUUCUACAUGUACUUAUCAACACACUAAAUGUGAGUUAACUCAUCUUACUCAAGUGUAGAAAUACAACAUCUACAGGCAAGCUUCUGAAAUGCAUAUCAAUGAACAGGUUACAAGUUUAUGAACUUCAAGAAGAUCGGUGACCCAAUGACAACUGUGUCAGUUUGGAAGAGGAUUCUGUCAAUGUCACAAAAUGGAGAGAGGUAGAAUUGUGCCUCGCCAUCAGGCCAGGAGUACAGGUCACCAGAUUGACACUUCAUGUACUGAAGAUAUACAUUUUAACCUUCAACAGAG
rnacentral:lncRNA from 1 species